rnacentral:rRNA from 1 species
UGGGGAAUAUUGCACAAUGGGGGGAAACCCUGAUGCAGCGACGCCGCGUGAGCGAAGAAGUAUUUCGGUAUGUAAAGCUCUAUCAGCAGGGAAGAAAAUGACGUUACCCUCAGAAGAAGCACCGGCUAACUCCGUGCCAGCAGCCGCGGUAAUACGGAGGGUGCAAGCGUUAAUCGGAAUAACUGGGCGUAAAGGGCAUGCAGGCGGUUCAUCAAGUAGGAUGUGAAAUCCCCGGGCUCAACCUGGGAACAGCAUACUAAACUGGUGGACUAGAGUAUUGCAGGGGGAGACGGAAUUCCAGGUGUAGCGGUGGAAUGCGUAGAUAUCUGGAAGAACACCAAAGGCGAAGGCAGUCUCCUGGGCAAAUACUGACGCUCAUAUGCGAAAGCGUGGGUAGCAAACAGGAUUAGAUACCCUGGUAG